GCUGCGGUGUCCGAGCGGUUAAGGAGAUGGACUUGAAAUCCAUUGGGUUCUACCCGCGCAGGUUCGAAUCCUGUCCGCAGCG
rfam:Apis mellifera strain DH4 linkage group 8, whole genome shotgun sequence.